CACCAGGGCUUCCUGCAGCCUCUCUGUCUGUUUUUGCAUUGUCUCACUGUGGGGAAGGUGAGAAGCAGGCUAGCAGGAGCUGCAGCCCUGGAUGGACUGGAGAAAGCUUGGCUGCCAAUCACCCCUCUCUUUAAGCUAUGCUACCCUUAUUCAAUAGAGGGUUGUUUUAGUGAACCUUUCCAGAAUGGCAGGUGUGUGGUGCUGUAGGAAACACCUGCAUGGGGCUCUGGUCUCUUUCUACCCAGCUGACUUUUUUCAGCCAUGCACUGGCUUGGGGUCAGCCCUCGCAAGCAGGUGUUUUCCUUCAGAAUAGCUUUCUUGUCUGCAUCCAAGUGGAUCACAAGGGCCGAACUUCACUGCCGGAGGUCACAGGUCAAACACGGCAGCACGGGGUCCCUUGGGUACUGUGCUUACCAGGUGUUUAAUAUUAUCAGAGGUUAUUUGCUGAAACUGUGAUAGAGUGUUCUCAGCGAUUCAAAAUAAAUUUAACGAGAACAGUUUUAAAAGCCCCCACAUUAGAGGAUGUCUGUUCAAUGGACAGAGAGGUUAAAGUUAAUUCGAUCAGGCAUAUGUACUUUCUCCAAAAGGGAACAUAUGCACUCAGCGGCUUGGCCCCAUUUGUUGCAAUUUUGGGUCUCAUUUCCAUUUGCAAGAAAGAUAACUACUUGCAUAUGGAAGCAAUAAAUAAGAGAAGUCAUUAACAUUUCUCUAAUUUAGGGGAAGAAAAAAAAAGUCUUAACGAAGUAAUAUCUUUGCCAGGGCAGACAGAAAUGUAAAUUGGAGAUUGGAAGGAAACCUAUUAAAGGAAUUGCUAUGUUACUAGUCUUUUUUAAUCUAAUGAAUUUAUGAAUUGCCACUUGUUAGGUCAUAGACUUCGUUAAUUUCCUAUGUGUUUAGUUAAGGAGAGAAAGUAUGGGGCAGGAGGAAGGAGGGGU